AUCAAGCACCAGGCCGUGGCACUGCGUGUGCAAUCUGACUUUUCCAUCUUCUAUAACUGCCAUAUGGACGCGUACCAAGACACCCUCUACACCCAAACCUACCGGCAAUACUACCGGGACUGCACCAUCACCGGGACCGUAGACUUCAUCUUCGGGGAUGGCGUGGCGCUGUUCCAAAACUGCAAGAUGCUGGUGAGAAAGCCAGGGGAUUCACAGUCUUGCAUGGUGACAGCCCAAGGCAGGACCGACAAGAACGAGAUCACAGCCAUAGUCCUCCAAAACUGCACCAUCACUGGUGAGCCAGAGUACAUGGCUGUAAAGGACAAGAACAAGGCUUACUUGGGAAGGCCAUGGAAGGACUUUGCAAGGGUGGUGGUGAUGAACUCACAGAUUGAUGAGGCCAUUCAGCCUGAAGGGUGGAUAGAAUGGGCUGGUUCCCAGUUUCACAACACUUGCUUUCUUGGUGAGUACGGCAACAGGGGUCCUAGGGCUGACAUGGCCCAAAGGGUCAAAUGGCCAAGCCUCAAGAAGCUUACUGCCGACCAAGCUGCCACUUUCACCCCUGCCAAGCUCUUUGAGGGUGAUCGGUGGAUCAAGCCCAGCGGAGUUCCUUAUGUUUCUGGCAUGGUGUCUGCGUAGAUCACAAAUGAAAAUCUUAAAACAAUUCUAUUUUGGUCUGAAGAAAAAAAAUAUCACUUCACAGGUUGAUUGAUUUUGUAUCUUGUGAUCUUGUGGAAUUCUAUUCCCUUUCAUUUUUCCUACACAUGCAUACCCAUUGAAUGAUGAUAGAGAUUUUUUAAUACAAAAAUGUUAGUCAUAUCACAUUUAUAUACUACCUUUUUAAAAAAAUGAGCCUCAUUGUAUUGGUGGGUUUCACCUCUAUUAGAAAGGUUGUAUGUAAAUGUGGUAUGCCUAGCGUUGCUCUUUUGAAUAUAAUGGUGAUCAAGGUAGUGUGG
rnacentral:lncRNA from 1 species